GAUUAAGUUAUUAAGGGCGCACGGUGGAUGCCUUGGCACUAGAAGCCGAUGAAGGACGUUACUAACGACGAUAUGCUUUGGGGAGCUGUAAGUAAGCUUUGAUCCAGAGAUUUCCGAAUGGGGAAACCCAGCAUGAGUUAUGUCAUGUUAUCGAUAUGUGAAUACAUAGCAUAUUAGAAGGCACACCCGGAGAACUGAAACAUCUUAGUACCCGGAGGAAGAGAAAGAAAAUUCGAUUCCCUUAGUAGCGGCGAGCGAAACGGGAAGAGCCCAAACCAACAAGCUUGCUUGUUGGGGUUGUAGGACACUCUAUACGGAGUUACAAAGGACGACAUUAGACGAAUCAUCUGGAAAGAUGAAUCAAAGAAGGUAAUAAUCCUGUAGUCGAAAAUGUUGUCUCUCUUGAGUGGAUCCUGAGUACGACGGAGCACGUGAAAUUCCGUCGGAAUCUGGGAGGACCAUCUCCUAAGGCUAAAUACUCUCUAGUGACCGAUAGUGAACCAGUACCGUGAGGGAAAGGUGAAAAGCACCCCGGAAGGGGAGUGAAAUAGAACCUGAAACCGUGUGCUUACAAGUAGUCAGAGCCCGUUAAUGGGUGAUGGCGUGCCUUUUGUAGAAUGAACCGGCGAGUUACGAUUUGAUGCAAGGUUAAGCAGUAAAUGUGGAGCCGUAGCGAAAGCGAGUCUGAAUAGGGCGUUUAGUAUUUGGUCGUAGACCCGAAACCAGGUGAUCUACCCUUGGUCAGGUUGAAGUUCAGGUAACACUGAAUGGAGGACCGAACCGACUUACGUUGAAAAGUGAGCGGAUGAACUGAGGGUAGCGGAGAAAUUCCAAUCGAACCUGGAGAUAGCUGGUUCUCUCCGAAAUAGCUUUAGGGCUAGCCUCAAGUGAUGAUUAUUGGAGGUAGAGCACUGUUUGGACGAGGGGCCCCUCUCGGGUUACCGAAUUCAGACAAACUCCGAAUGCCAAUUAAUUUAACUUGGGAGUCAGAACAUGGGUGAUAAGGUCCGUGUUCGAAAGGGAAACAGCCCAGACCACCAGCUAAGGUCCCAAAAUAUAUGUUAAGUGGAAAAGGAUGUGGCGUUGCCCAGACAACUAGGAUGUUGGCUUAGAAGCAGCCAUCAUUUAAAGAGUGCGUAAUAGCUCACUAGUCGAGUGACACUGCGCCGAAAAUGUACCGGGGCUAAACAUAUUACCGAAGCUGUGGAUUGUCCUUUGGACAAUGGUAGGAGAGCGUUCUAAGGGCGUUGAAGCAUGAUCGUAAGGACAUGUGGAGCGCUUAGAAGUGAGAAUGCCGGUGUGAGUAGCGAAAGACGGGUGAGAAUCCCGUCCACCGAUUGACUAAGGUUUCCAGAGGAAGGCUCGUCCGCUCUGGGUUAGUCGGGUCCUAAGCUGAGGCCGACAGGCGUAGGCGAUGGAUAACAGGUUGAUAUUCCUGUACCACCUAUAAUCGUUUUAAUCGAUGGGGGGACGCAGUAGGAUAGGCGAAGCGUGCGAUUGGAUUGCACGUCUAAGCAGUAAGGCUGAGUAUUAGGCAAAUCCGGUACUCGUUAAGGCUGAGCUGUGAUGGGGAGAAGACAUUGUGUCUUCGAGUCGUUGAUUUCACACUGCCGAGAAAAGCCUCUAGAUAGAAAAUAGGUGCCCGUACCGCAAACCGACACAGGUAGUCAAGAUGAGAAUUCUAAGGUGAGCGAGCGAACUCUCGUUAAGGAACUCGGCAAAAUGACCCCGUAACUUCGGGAGAAGGGGUGCUCUUUAGGGUUAACGCCCAGAAGAGCCGCAGUGAAUAGGCCCAAGCGACUGUUUAUCAAAAACACAGGUCUCUGCUAAACCGUAAGGUGAUGUAUAGGGGCUGACGCCUGCCCGGUGCUGGAAGGUUAAGAGGAGUGGUUAGCUUCUGCGAAGCUACGAAUCGAAGCCCCAGUAAACGGCGGCCGUAACUAUAACGGUCCUAAGGUAGCGAAAUUCCUUGUCGGGUAAGUUCCGACCCGCACGAAAGGCGUAACGAUUUGGGCACUGUCUCAACGAGAGACUCGGUGAAAUCAUAGUACCUGUGAAGAUGCAGGUUACCCGCGACAGGACGGAAAGACCCCGUGGAGCUUUACUGUAGCCUGAUAUUGAAAUUCGGCACAGCUUGUACAGGAUAGGUAGGAGCCUUUGAAACGUGAGCGCUAGCUUACGUGGAGGCGCUGGUGGGAUACUACCCUAGCUGUGUUGGCUUUCUAACCCGCACCACUUAUCGUGGUGGGAGACAGUGUCAGGCGGGCAGUUUGACUGGGGCGGUCGCCUCCUAAAAGGUAACGGAGGCGCUCAAAGGUUCCCUCAGAAUGGUUGGAAAUCAUUCAUAGAGUGUAAAGGCAUAAGGGAGCUUGACUGCGAGACCUACAAGUCGAGCAGGGUCGAAAGACGGACUUAGUGAUCCGGUGGUUCCGCAUGGAAGGGCCAUCGCUCAACGGAUAAAAGCUACCCCGGGGAUAACAGGCUUAUCUCCCCCAAGAGUUCACAUCGACGGGGAGGUUUGGCACCUCGAUGUCGGCUCAUCGCAUCCUGGGGCUGUAGUCGGUCCCAAGGGUUGGGCUGUUCGCCCAUUAAAGCGGUACGCGAGCUGGGUUCAGAACGUCGUGAGACAGUUCGGUCCCUAUCCGUCGUGGGCGUAGGAAAUUUGAGAGGAGCUGUCCUUAGUACGAGAGGACCGGGAUGGACAUACCUCUGGUGUACCAGUUGUCGUGCCAACGGCAUAGCUGGGUAGCUAUGUGUGGACGGGAUAAGUGCUGAAAGCAUCUAAGCAUGAAGCCCCCCUCAAGAUGAGAUUUCCCAACUUCGGUUAUAAGAUCCCUCAAAGAUGAUGAGGUUAAUAGGUUCGAGGUGGAAGCAUGGUGACAUGUGGAGCUGACGAAUACUAAUCGAUCGAAGACUUAAUCAA
rnacentral:rRNA from 1 species